CAGUAGCCGCGGGAAUUCGGAGGGCGCGAGCGUUACCCGGAUUUACUGGGCGUAAAGGGCGUGUAGGCGGCCUGGGGCGUCCCAUGUGAAAGGCCACGGCUCAACCGUGGAGGAGCGUGGGAUACGCUCAGGCUAGAGGGUGGGAGAGGGUGGUGGAAUUCCCGGAGUAGCGGUGAAAUGCGCAGAUACCGGGAGGAACGCCGAUGGCGAAGGCAGCCACCUGGUCCACUUCUGACGCUGAGGCGCGAAAGCGUGGGGAGCAAACAGGAUUAGAUACCCCAGUAGUCCCUGUCUCUUAUAC
rnacentral:rRNA from 1 species